rnacentral:tRNA from 1 species
GGGAAUGUGGCUUAGUGGUAGAGUGCUUGCCUGAUGUGCAUGAGGUCCUGGGUUUGAUUCCUUGGUACCA